rnacentral:snRNA from 1 species
GAGCUCGCUUUGGCAGCUCAUGUAAUAAAACUGGAAUGACAGAGAAGAUGAGCAUGGCCCCCAUGCAAGGACGACACGCAAACUGGUGAAGUGUUCCAUAUCUUA